GAGAGCAUUUUGGCAGCUGCAGUGGAAGCGGGCUUAUCUGAAGGCCAAGCCCAAAAGCUUCUGGAAAUGAGUACUUCACCUGAUGUGAAGGAUCGCUUGAAAGCAGCAACAGAAGAAGUAUUAAAAUAUGGGGCAUUUGGGUUGCCAUGUUCGGUGAUCUAUGUUGACGACAAGCCCCAGCUUCUCUUUGGUUCCGAUCGCUUAGAACUGCUGGCACACCUCUUGGGGGAGAAGUGGCAGGGACCCGUUCCUGCAUCCCCUAAGCUCUAAGCUUUAGGAGCAACGGGACGUAAAAGCAUCAGUAGGAGACUUAGGGAGUGUCUGCCUUGUCAGCUUCCACAUGGUCAACACAGGAGCCAUAAUGAGCAAAUUGCAUUUCUUCACUCUGGAACAGGGACACGCGAGACAUUACAGCUUCUGCUACUGCAGUCAUCACGUCUGUCUACAGUGCAAUCUAUGUCCAAUAACGAUGAUCAAAUUUCUGCUUGACCAGUGGCACCAUGUAUUAUGCUAUGGUGUGGGUCAGUAGGGUAUCAAACCUCUGGAUGUGCCUUAACAUCGACAUUAAUGGGGAUUCUUCACUUU